GCCUGGCUGGUUCAGUCAGUAGAACAUGAGACUCUUAAUCUUGGAGUCAUGAGUUCAAGCCUCAUGUUGGGGG
rnacentral:tRNA from 1 species